CAACACUGCGCCCUCACCAGGCGGUCCUGGAUCCUGGGCUGGCUGGAGGGUCAUGGUGAUUGCAGCUACACACUGGCAGUUCUUCCUGAGAUUUUAACAUCAUUAGAGACACUUAAGCAACAACAACAGUUGAUUUUGCUGCAACUGCAAAGGCUGCAGUUGAGUGGUUCAACACCAUCAGAGGUUCCGGACGUGACCGACCUUGGGUUUCUGGUGUCCUCACUGGAAUACUGGAAGGGAGUCGAGGGAAGGAUUGCUGGGCAACCAGACCUCAAAUAGAACCUGAUCACAUCUGUUGGACUGGCUAGAGGAAUGACCACCAAGGAACGAGACUGUGUGGAGAAUACUAACAAAACUCCUGACAAAUGCCCUGGCCAUGAAGAUGAACUGGCGAGGGGCCAAUGGGAAGCAGGCAUUCGAACGGCUUGCCCUGAAAGGCAUAGUUCCAGGGCUAUCUGCUGAAAGUACCAAAGCUUCUGAUGGUGAAAUUGAGAAAUACAUCAAGAGGUGAAAGCAGCUGACCUCUGACCGAGACGUAGGAAAAAAGAAGAGAGCCCAACCGAAAACAGAAGAAGACCAGAGGAGAGAAGAUGACCAGAGUGGGGUAGAAGAGUGAUGCCAUCACACCCUACCCUACACUGACAAUAACAGGGAACGCUGUCACCAUACCAAAACCAAUUUCGCUAAGUGGGGAUGGCUCUUUGUGAUGUUCCUCUUCAGACUGUAGAGUAAAAAUCCUAUCAGUUCUUAGUUGGCCUCGGGAAAGUCAUGCUACUUUUAAUAUGUUAACCGGUGAGUGUUUAUUACCAGUGUAAUAUUGUACCUUCAUAUUUCGAUAGAGAUGUGAUGCAAUGCUCAUUUUGCUGUUCAUUGUUUAAGGUUGUUACUAUCAUGAAUGAAGGUAAGACCCAGGUGCAGACCGUGUCGAAGUAACAAUGUUUAUUAUAGGAGCAAGGGUACAGGACGGCAGGCAGGCUCAGGGUCAGGUCAGGUAGAGGUCGGUAAUCCAGAGGUGGGGCAAAGGUACAGGACGGCAGGCAGAGUGGUCAGGUGGGGCGGGUACAGGGUCAGGACAGGAUGAGAAAAGAGAGACUGGGGAAAAGCAGGAGCUGAAUACAAAAACACUGGUUAACGUCACAAACAAGAUGAACUGGCAACAGACAAACAGAGAACACAGGUAUAAAUACACAGGGGAAGAUGGGCGACACCUGGAGGAGAGUGGGGACAAUCACAAAAACAGGUGAAACAGAUCAAGGUGUGACAGUUACAGCUGUUUGUACUUUGAUAUAGUAUAUUGCAACUGAAUUGAAAACUAUCGGGGUGCAUGGGUAAUAUUAAUAUGAAUUAGCAUUGCUCUACUUCUGGGGGUAUUCUGGCAAGACACCGGCUAGCUAGCUAAAUGAAGAGAUUUACGUAUUUCAUUAUGUAGCCCGGAGAGAAUUUGGAAUGUUCUAGCAACGGCCCUAGCAAAGGACUCUCGAAUCCCAUUGUGAUGCAGGGGGACAUUAUUUGGCAAGACAUGGUCCCUUAGAGUUUUUUAUUCAUCUUUAUUUUACAAGCUAUAUUGACAGAUAACAAGUGCACUACUUUAUCUUGUACACUAAGGACAUGGGGAAGAGUUUCAAGGGUGAAGAGAAGAAUGUGCCUAUUUGAACGGCAGAAAAAAAAUUGUAGCUCGCCAUGUGUCAUUUUUUAAAAGUAGCUCUCAUGCUAGAAAAGGUUGGAGACCCUUGCAUUAUAAUCACUACAGACAAAUAAACUUGAAGUGUCAUUAAUAGGCAUGAUGAUGGCUUUGAACUUGAUUCAGAGAAAGGGAAGGCACCAAAAACACGCCACUCCACCGCAUGCAUUAAUCAAACCAUAUUCAUCAAACCAGGCCUGGUCAGGGAGAAUAAGGGGAAUGGUGCUGAACUCGUUCCCUCUAAUUAGAUUUGCAAUUAUUGUAAGCUGGAGUAGUUAUUUAGCGUCAGUCUGGACCGUGUGUGCUCUGGAACAUAAUCGUCCUCAAAUUACAAGAUAAUGGAGCCAGAGAGAGGCCACUGCUCCUUAUGGAACCUGCAGAUAGAAUCCUCCAAAGGGACCUUUUAGGGAGAGAGGGCUAGGGAGAGAGCGAGGGAGGAAGAUCGAUAGAAAUGUCAUUCUGAAAUCCACUAAAUGUGUUUUCACAGUAGUUAUUGUACCUUAGUCCUCAUAGUUUUGUUAAUUUAAAUAUCCCAACACUUAUUAUGGAGAGAUACACAAUGUAUUGCAUUGAUUUAAAAACAAUAUCAUAUGAGUGAAUGCUGUAUGAUAUGUUAAAUUAUAUUUUAUUUUUUAAUAGUACAUUUGAAUUUUUUUUAGAGGAUGUAAAUUGACAUGUUUCCAAGGCAACUAGUUCAAAGCCAAGGUGAGUGCCUUAUCUGUACUAAUGAGCAGGACACUCAAAACAUCUAAGGAAAGAAACAGCCAAGGGCAAGAUGUGAAUACAACUAUACAAUUUUGCCAAACUACUGCUAUACUGUUAAAGAGUAGAGAAAAGCUUCAACGCAGUUGCUUAAUGUAUUCCCCCUCUUGUUUACUUCCUAAUAUUAGGCAGGAGACCUGUGAUCCCUCAUAUAGCAGGCAGACAGACAGACCGAUGGGGUGGGGGUGACAAACGGAUACAUAGUGACACACGCACACAUUCCAGACUUACUGGUAGCUGGCUUGAUCACAGCGUGCUGCUUACCCACUGGGCACAAACGUCAGUUCAACGUCUAGUUUUGAUUUACAUUUGGUUGACUUGUCAACUAACGUGAUUUCAACAUGAAAUUCACAAAACAUUUCACCAUGUUAUUGGAUUUAAGUUCAUAGUUGGGUGAAAAGACCUUACGUUGAUUACUUUUUUUAUUUUGCAUUAUUCAAUCAUUUUUCGAGGUUGUUUCAAUGUCAUCACAUUGAAUUCUUGGGUUGAAAUGACAUGGAAACAACAUUGAUUCAACCAGUUUUUGCCCAGUUGGUAGGCACAUGUUGCUCCUUACUGCUUGAGGAUGUGCAAAAUAUGAAGCAUCAGGUCUGAAAUCAAAUCACACAAUUAGGCUUUUACUGUUGUACCAGAGGUCAUGAAGGUCACAUGGUUGUCUGAGAAACAACGAUUUUUGGGCAGGAAGCUAAGAAGUCAGGGAGUUUUUAGUUUUUUUUUGGCACGUUGCUGUAUGUGGAGAGGCUGACAAACAUUAAAUGUAAGUAGUAAGGUGACCAUGAGCUGUCUAAGAAAAGUACAAAUGCCCUUAUAUACACGUACGUGGAGGCAAGUGUUCCCAUAGAAAAUCACAAUGCAUGCAGGUUACCUUAAUUUAACCUGCCAGAGGCCUUUUAGUUUGUUCUGUUUUUCACUCCUAAAACAGGACCUUAUUUUAUGACAAUCAUCUGUUGGUUGUUUGGCCUCCAUCAGUGUUGUCAGCCCAUGACCAAUGACAAAGCAUUGAUCACGUGACACCAUUCAUUCUAAUGUGAAGACUCAAUAACGAAUUGAAGCCAAAUUAAGUUGGUCAAGAUGGCAUCUCAUGGAGACAUAAUAUGUGCAGUUUGAGCUACUCCAUGAAGUGAUGUUGCAGGCUAGAUCAGUGCUGCCACCUCUCAUUGUGUAGUUGAAGGCUGACCGGGGUACUGCUGGCUGGCUGCCGUCAGCAACUAAAUUAUUAAACUUCUUCUGUGUGCGAUUUAAAACUAUUCAGUUCAAGAACAUACAUCUGGUGUAUUAGCAGCAAUUAUUUGUACCAUGAUUGUUUAAAAAAAAAAAAUGUAUUACCACAAAGAUUGAUUACGAAGAUCGACGUCUUUCCAUUCACUAUAAUGGGGGAUCCUGUUUUCUGCUAACAAUGCCUGCAAUUUCCGUGGUUUUAAUGAGAUGGGGCAGUUGUUCUCACCUGUCCAUGACAUACCAAGAUGAAAGUAUAUUGAGUUUAAAGUAUAACAUUUCUCUAGUAGUCGGCUAUAUUUGAUUGGUUUCUCGAAGUAAUAGACUGAAUUGUACACCAAUAUUACAUCAUAGAAACUUAACUAAAGCAAUAAUUUGAAUACAAUACAAUGUUACAAAAUAAAAUAUAUCCAACAAGAUAACAAUAGGCUAGAGAAAUCAUACCCUCAACUAACACAGUUCCUCUUGAUCAGUUACUUUCAGUUUGUGAUUGUUUUGUCUCAACCAGUGUUGUUUCAGUCUAUAAGGGUGUCGUGGUACACUGCUAUGGGACUAAUUAAAACAUUUAACUGCUCAAAGUGUAGUCAUGACGUGGCAUGCCCUUUGGCUCUAACCUACCUGCAGGGAAAUACCAACACUGUGCCCUCAGUAGGCGGUCCUGGAUCCUGGGCUUUCAGCAGGCUGGAGGGUUGUAGGUUAUGUAACUUGCAUGCCAAUUGAUGGAAAUGUAUUUUUAUUAGUAUUCAUCUGUGAGAUGGGAUGACCAUGCCUGUUGCAGGUAGUGAGGCCAAAUGCAUAAGUCUAUUAAUGAAUGUGGUGUAGCCUAUGCCAAAGGAAGCAAAUGCUAUUAAGAAAAACGCUAUGUCUGGCGCAAACCUAACACCUCUCAUCACCCAGAGAACACCAUCCCCACAGUGAAGCAUGGUGGGGGCAGCAUCAUGCUGUGGGGAAGUUUUUCAUCGGCAGGGACUGGGAAACUGGACAGAAAUGAAGGAAUGAUGGAAGGUGCUAAAUGGAGGGAAAUUCUUGAGGGAAACCUGUUUCAGUCUUCCAGAGAUUUGAGACUGGGCCGGAGGUUGACAACUCCCUUGUGUCCUCCUCCCAGAGUGCUAAGAAC